rnacentral:rRNA from 1 species
AAAUUGAAGAGUUUGAUCAUGGCUCAGAUUGAACGCUGGCGGCAGGCCUAACACAUGCAAGUCGAGCGGUAGCACAGAGAGCUUGCUCUCGGGUGACGAGCGGCGGACGGGUGAGUAAUGUCUGGGAAACUGCCUGAUGGAGGGGGAUAACUACUGGAAACGGUAGCUAAUACCGCAUAAUGUCGCAAGACCAAAGUGGGGGACCUUCGGGCCUCAUGCCAUCAGAUGUGCCCAGAUGGGAUUAGCUAGUAGGUGAGGUA